AUUGAACGCUGGCGGCAGGCCUAACACAUGCAAGUCGAGCGGAUGAAGGGGGCUUGCUCCUGGAUUCAGCGGCGGACGGGGGAGUAAUGCCUAGGAAUCUGCCUGGUAGUGGGGGAUAACGUGCGGAAACGGGCGCUAAUACCGCAUACGUCCUGAGGGAGAAAGUGGGGGAGCUUCGGACCUCACGCUAUCAGAUGAGCCUAGGUCGGAUUAGCUAGUUGGUGGGGUAAAGGCCUACCAAGGUGACGAUCCGUAACUGGUCUGAGAGGAUGAUCAGUCACCCUGGAUCUGAGACACGGUCCCGACUCCUGCGGGGGGCCGCAGUGCGGAAUCCUGGGCGAUGGGCCAAUGGCUGAUCCUGCACUGCCGGCUGAAUCCUGAACCACUUCGGACGGUAGAGCGCUGUAGGCUGGAGGGUUGGAAAGUAAGUUUAUCCCUGGCUAUUAUGACGUUACCGGCAGAAUAAGCUCCGGCUAACUCCGUG
rnacentral:rRNA from 1 species